AUUGAACGCUGGCGGCAUGCCUAACACAUGCAAGUCGAACGGGGUAGCAAUACCCAGUGGCGGACGGGUGAGGAAUACAUAGGAAUUUGCCUUUAGGUGGGGGAUAGCCCGGGGAAACUCGGAGUAAUACCGCAUGAUGUCGAAAGACCAAAGUAGGGGAUCGCAAGACCUUGCGCCUUUAGAGAAGCCUAUGUCUGAUUAGCUAGUUGGUAGGGUAAUGGCCUACCAAGGCGACGANCAGUAACUGGUCUGAGAGGACGAUCAGUCACACCGGAACUGAGACACGGUCCGGACUCCUACGGGAGGCAGCAGUGGGGAAUAUUGGACAAUGGGCGAAAGCCUGAUCCAGCAAUGCCGCGUGUGUGAAGAAGG
rnacentral:rRNA from 1 species